ensembl:snRNA U1 U1 spliceosomal RNA
AUCCUUACCUGGCAGGGAAGACACCAUGAUCACAAAGGUGGUUUUCUCAGGGUGUGGCUUAUCCACUGCUUUCUCAUGUGUUGACCUCUGUGAUUUUCCCAAAUAUGGGAAACUUGACUGUGUAAUUUGUGGUAGUGUGGAAUUGCAUUUGCGCUCUCCCCU